rnacentral:pre_miRNA from 1 species
AGCUUUCUGAAUUCGUGCUGAGAUUUCGUCAAACACCAAACUAUUUACAUUGAUGAGACUCUCAAGAUUAGUGAGGCG